rnacentral:tRNA from 1 species
UCCUGGUUAGCUCAGUUGGUAGAGCGCUCCACUGGAAAUGGAGGGGUCCUGAGUUCGAUACCCGGAACAGGCU